AACGAACGCUAGCGGCAUGCCUCAAACAUGCAAGUCGUACGAGAAAGUUCCUUCGGGGACGAGUAGAGUGGCGCACGGGUGCGUAACACGUAGCUAACGUACCCUCUCGCUGGGGAUAACUCCGGGAAACCGGAGCUAAUACCGAAUGAACUAGAGAGAUCUUUGGGUUUCUUUGGUAAAGCCGUAAGGCGCGAGAGGAUCGGGCUGCGGCCCAUUAGCUUGUUGGUGGGGUAACGGCCUACCAAGGCAGCGAUGGGUAGCUGGUCUGAGAGGAUGAUCAGCCACACUGGAACUGGAACACGGUCCAGACUCCCACGGGAGGCAGCAGUUGGGAAUAUUGCACAAUGGGGGAAACCCUGAUGCAGCAAUGCCGCGUGAGGGACGAAGGCUCUCGGGUCGUAAACCUCUUUCAGCAGGGAAGAAGGG
rnacentral:rRNA from 1 species